GACAGAGGGUGCAAACGUUUGUUCGGAAUUACUGGGCGUAAAGCGCGUGUAGGCGGCCCUGUAAGUCGGGUGUGAAAUCCCACGGCUCAACCGUGGAAGUGCAUUCGAAACUACAGGGCUAGAGUUCUGGAGAGGAAGGUGGAAUGCUUGGUGUAGAGGUGAAAUUCGUAGAUAUCAAGCGGAACACCGGUGGCGAAGGCGGCCUUCUGGACAGUGACUGACGCUGAGACGCGAAAGCGUGGGAGCAAACAGG
rnacentral:rRNA from 1 species